rnacentral:rRNA from 1 species
GCGGCGUGCUUAACACAUGCAAGUCGAACGAUGAACCAGGAGCUUGCUCUUGGGAAUUAGUGGCGAACGGGUGAGUAACACGUGAGUAACCUGCCCUUGACUCUGGGAUAACCUCCGGAAACGGAAGCUAAUACCGGAUACGACGUACGGAGGCAUCUCCUGUACGUGGAAAGAACUUCGGUCAAGGAUGGACUCGCGGCCUAUCAGGUAGUUGGUGAGGUAACGGCUCACCAAGCCUACGACGGGUAGCCGGCCUGAGAGGGUGACCGGCCACACUGGGACUGAGACACGGCCCAGACUCCUACGGGAGGCAGCAGUGGGGAAUAUUGCACAAUGGGCGCAAGCCUGAUGCAGCAACGCCGCGUGAGGGAUGACGGCCUUCGGGUUGUAAACCUCUUUUAGUAGGGAAGAAGCGAAAGUGACGGUACCUGCAGAAAAAGCACCGGCUAACUACGUGCCAGCAGCCGCGGUAAUACGUAGGGUGCGAGCGUUGUCCGGAAUUAUUGGGCGUAAAGAGCUCGUAGGCGGUCUGUCGCGUUUGCUGUGAAAACCCGAGGCUCAACCUCGGGCCUGCAGUGGGUACGGGCAGACUAUAGUGCGCUAGGGGAGGAUGGAAUUCCUGGUGUA